GACGAACCGUGCAAACGUUAUUCGGAAUCACUGGGCAUAAAAGGGCGCGUAGGCGGCUCCAAAAGUCAGGGGUGAAAUCCGGCAGCUUAACUGUCGCAGUGCCUUUGAUACUGUGGAGCUAGAGGGAUGUAGGGGUCUGUGGAACUUCCGGUGGAGCGGUGAAAUGCGUUGAUAUCGGAAGGAACGCCGGUGGCGAAAGCGACGGACUGGACAUCUUCUGACGCUGAGGCGCGAAAGCCAGGGGAGCAAACGGG
rnacentral:rRNA from 1 species